CGGAAUUCUUGUUCUGAUUCUUAUCUUGGAAGCUCAGAUAAUCAAGAGACUAAACAUUAGAGAAUCACUCAAAUGAGAAGCAGAGGUCCUAGUGGGAAAUGCGGCUGGCACGAGUACAAUUCGAAGGUCUCGCACGGGCCAGGAUCAGGGGCUGCUAGAAAGGUUGUCUUACAUAGUAACCUGCCUUCACGAGAAAGCUGAGGAAGGCCAACAUAAACAGAAAUGUGUCCAGACAGCACCCCAAGUGUGUUCACAAAGGGAGGCCCCUUCAGCUGGGUGCUGGGGAACAAAUAGGGAUUGUCCAGUCCUCACAAGGGAGAGCAGCACAGGACGAGGGAGAAGGUAGAAAGGCAAAGACCGCGAGAGAAACAUUUACCCUAGGAACGCUGAGAAGUAGACAGCGGCUAUGACAGACAAUGGGAGAACAGGAAGAAGGACGAAGGUACAUACUAAGAGAAGUGAGAAACAGAGCAGACGAGACAAGAGGAAUAAGAAUCAUAAGAGGAAAGGGAAAAUCAACACCUUUACUACAGGUCUUGCUAAGUCACCCACUCUGGGCUCGAAC